ensembl:lncRNA
GGAAAAAGCUAUAUUAAUAAGACUAAAGAAGAAGAACAACAAGGAAAAAGCUAUAUUAAUAAGACUAAAGAAGAAGAACAACAAGGAAAAAGCUAUAUUAGAAAAUCUACAGUCAGUAAACAAAACUCAAACAAAAAAAAAACUGAAAAUAAACACAAAAAGAUUAAUAUUCCGUACAACAACGUUAGUCUGAGAAGUAUUUUUGCACUGGUGUAGAAUAUAAACAACGCUGUCUGUUCGUCUCUUAGUAGCCUCUGUAAAGAUUUAAACCAGGCUCCAUUACAAACAUUAAAAAAUAAGACUGGGAAUGACAAAACAGCCUGAUUCCAAACCAAUAGCUUGUCCCUUUCCAAAAGUCCUGACUCCUCCAAUCUAAAAGGACUUGGAGUUAUAUGCAGUACAAAUCCAAACAAGCUGUCAGGUAGCCAACAAGAUCCUAGGGAUCGGGAUGAGGUAUUGGUUUGGGACUGGGCACCUGUGUAGAUUAGGCUCAGUCUCUGCAUUGAGGGUCCAUCCCAAUCGUCUAAAGGGGCUUCCUCCACUCCUCACCCUCUCCUCAUUUCCUCUCCUUCAUCUGCACUGAACUGAAAACACAGGUGUUAAGUUAAGGUAAUGUGAUGGAUACAAAACCAGAAAUGAGCUCUCACUUUGCUUAGCUCUUUCACAUCGUUGCAGAUGAAGGAAAGUCAGAAAGGAGACAUGGAGGGAAAUCUAUUUUUCACGUAUUGAGAUGCACCCAGACACUCCAUGUUGAUUUCCUCAUCAUACAACCACUCCUAUUGAUCCUAACCCCGCCCAUCCACUUGCAUCGUAACCAUGGGAGCUGUGGGUGUUCUUGGCACUAGUUACACCGUAAAUAGGGUUGGUGAUUCAGACCUCUUUAUGGUGCCAAAACCUUUUUAUUAUCCACAUUAAAAGUUCAUACAACUUUUCAUACAACAAGUGCCAAAGCUACUGCAUCAUCAGAAGGUGAGGAUGGAGUUAAGGAGAUAGUGACUACAACAAGCCUUGUAACACUGCUUGAUAUCUCUCUUGCGGGGGUUAAGGAGAUAGUGACUGACUACUAGAUAUCUCUCUUUAGGGGGUUAAGGAGAUAGUGACUGACUACUAGAUAUCUCUCUUUAGGGGGUUAAGGAGAUAGUGACUGACUACUAGAUAUCUUAGGGGGUUAAGGAGAUAGUGACUGACUACUAGAUAUCUCUUUAGGGGGUUAAGGAGAUAGUGACUGACUACUAGAUAUCUCUCUUUAGGGGGUUAAGGAGAUAGUGACUGACUACUAGAUAUCUUCGGGGGUUAAGGAGAUAGUGACUGACUACUAGAUAUCUCUCUUUAGGGGGUUAAGGAGAUAGUGACUGACUACUAGAUAUCUCUCUUUAGGGGGUUAAGGAGAUAGUGACUGACUACUAGAUAUCUCUCUUUAGGGGGUUAAGGAGAUAGUGACUCUUUAGGGGAUAUCUUGCGGGGGUUAAGGAGAUAGUGACUGACUACUAGAUAUCUCUCUUUAGGGGGUUAAGGAGAUAGUGACUGACUACUAGAUAUCUCUCUUUAGGGGGUUAUUUAAGGAGAUAUUGACCAUAAGCAUUUCGCUACACUCGCAUUAACAUCUGCUAACCAUGUGUAUGUGACCAAUAAAAUUGUAUUUAAAACACAAAGAGAAGGGCAGAGACAAGCCUAUCAGGGAGGGACUAAGGCAACAUCAUAAGAGGAUAGAUACAUGCAGAGACACACACACACACACACACACAGAGAGGCAGAGUCAUUAGAUCACUCAGAGAUUCGCAGUGUAAAUAAGUGAGCGAGCUGAGUAUUUUCUCAUCAGUCUCCUACAAGCUCGGGUCCUCCAGAAUAUAUAAUACACAAAAACAAUAACAAGUGUGAGGCAAAUAAACAGUUAAGUCACUGAAUAAGUGGGUAUUGAAAAUAAAAGAAUUUCAAAAGGAGAUUUUACAAAGCAUUGUUGUACUUUCCAUUUCCAUGGCGAUAGACCUCACUCUAACUUCAUUUGAGCUCAUAAUGUAUUUUCUAUACAGGGGUAUGUGGCACAAGCAUAUUCUGUAUAAAUAUAUAGACGGCAUGUUGUAAAAGUUCUGACAUAAAAAGGUGUUUUUAUUCCUUUUUAAUUGUUCAGUGAAGCUGACAUUGGGUAUGUGUUGUCUCUCUCAGAAAUCCAACGGCUUGGCUUGGACCAUUGGACUUGCUAUAGUGAGUCAUAUGUUUCAAAAGAAUUCAAACUUCAUCUAGGAGGGGG